UUGUUUUUGUAAAUGUUAGAAGCCAGAGACAUGGGAGAUCAUCAUUCUUUUGAGAUUUUAUAACUCAAACCAACUUUGGAGUUGUCUGAUUUGGAGAGUCAUCGUUCUUGGUCUUCCCUCUUAAAGGCCACUGAUGAAGAACAGGUGGUGACUGGAUGAAUGCUGGUCAAAGAAGAGAACAUCCUUCCCUCUAAACUGAUGCAGCAGUGGUUUUAAAGGUGGACGCUGACCUGGAGGAUGUAGAAGAUGUCACAUGUGCUGAUGGGGCUUCUUCAUGACUACAUCAAUUAUGCUAAAGAGAUUAUGAUCAAGUUGACAGUGAUGAAUGAUCUGUAUUCAUGGACUAUGAAACAAACUGUAAGUGUAUAAUUUGUAAAAACAAUGUUAAAUGCUUUUUCUGUGUUGUUUAGUAGAAGAGUUUACACAGUCAUUCAUACACAUGCUCACAUUCUUUCACACACACACACACACACACACACACACACACACACACAUGCGUCUGUUAAAUGUUAUAAUAUCAGAGUUAAUGUUGUGGUUUAUUUGUGUACUGUCAUGCCAGAAUAGUUGGUAAAGAACCUAACUAAUAGUACAUUUAUUGUAUAAUAGUGUUUUCGUACAAUAUAUACAAUUGAACAAAGUCCAGUUUGAUCUUAAGUUAUAUUCAACAAAUGUUCAAUGCUUUAUUUAUGAACUCUGUAGCUGUUAAUAACAUACUUUUCUGCAUUUCUUCUUACAUGUUACUUGUUGACUUUUCUCUUGUUUUUAAUAAAUAUUUUCCUUUUGAUCAUU